UGCCAAAAUGAUGACAUUGUAUUUGCUACUCUUGACUGCAAGUGUGACGAGACUUGUAACCACCGAUCUCCUGGCUGAGGCA
ensembl:snoRNA SNORD24 Small nucleolar RNA SNORD24